rnacentral:rRNA from 1 species
AUGAACGCUAGCUACAGGCUUAACACAUGCAAGUCGAGGGGCAGCAUGGUCUUAGCUUGCUAAGGCCGAUGGCGACCGGCGCACGGGUGAGUAACACGUAUCCAACCUGCCGUCUACUCUUGGACAGCCUUCUGAAAGGAAGAUUAAUACAAGAUGGCAUCAUGAGUCCGCAUGUUCACAUGAUUAAAGGUAUUCCGGUAGACGAUGGGGAUGCGUUCCAUUAGAUAGUAGGCGGGGUAACGGCCCACCUAGUCUUCGAUGGAUAGGGGUUCUGAGAGGAAGGUCCCCCACAUUGGAACUGAGACACGGUCCAAACUCCUACGGGAGGCAGCAGUGAGGAAUAUUGGUCAAUGGGCGAGAGCUUGAACCAGCCAAGUAGCGUGAAGGAUGACUGCCCUAUGGGUUGUAAACUUCUUUUAUAAAGGAAUAAAGUCGGGUAUGGAUACCCGUUUGCAUGUACUUUAUGAAUAAGGAUCGGCUAACUCCGUGCCAGCAGCCGCGGUAAUACGGAGGGUCCGAGCGUUAUCCGGAUUUAUUGGGUUUAAAGGGAGCGUAGAUGGAUGUUUAAGUCAGUUGUGAAAGUUUGCGGCUCAACCGUAAAAUUGCAGUUGAUACUGGAUAUCUUGAGUGCAGUUGAGGCAGGCGGAAUUCGUGGUGUAGCGGUGAAAUGCUUAGAUAUCACGAAGAACUCCGAUUGCGAAGGCAGCCUGCUAAGCUGCAACUGACAUUGAGGCUCGAAAGUGUGGGUAUCAAACAGGAUUAGAUACCCUGGUAGUCCACACGGUAAACGAUGAAUACUCGCUGUUUGCGAUAUACUGCAAGCGGCCAAGCGAAAGCGUUAAGUAUUCCACCUGGGGAGUACGCCGGCAACGGUGAAACUCAAAGGAAUUGACGGGGGCCCGCACAAGCGGAGGAACAUGUGGUUUAAUUCGAUGAUACGCGAGGAACCUUACCCGGGCUUAAAUUGCAGAUGAAUUACAGUGAAAGCCGUAAGCCGCAAGGCAUCUGUGAAGGUGCUGCGUGGUUGUCGUCAGCUCGUGCCGUGAGGUGUCGGCUUAAGUGCCAUAACGAGCGCAACCCUUGUUGUCAGUUACUAACAGGUUCCGCUGAGGACUCUGACAAGACUGCCAUCGUAAGAUGUGAGGAAGGUGGGGAUGACGUCAAAUCAGCACGGCCCUUACGUCCGGGGCUACACACGUGUUACAAUGGGGGGUACAGAGGGCCGCUACCACGCGAGUGGAUGCCAAUCCCCAAAACCUCUCUCAGUUCGGACUGGAGUCUGCAACCCGACUCCACGAAGCUGGAUUCGCUAGUAAUCGCGCAUCAGCCACGGCGCGGUGAAUACGUUCCCGGGCCUUGUACACACCGCCCGUCAAGCCAUGGGAGCCGGGGGUACCUGAAGUGCGUAACCGCGAGGAGCGCCCUAGGGUAAAACUGGUGACUGGGGCU